rnacentral:tRNA from 1 species
UCUCAGUGGCCGAGUAGAUAACGCGAUGGCGUUUGAAGCAAACGGUACUGGGUUCGAAUCCCAGAGUGAACA